CCCCAUCCCCUCAAUCUUCCAGGGCUGCUCCUGGCAUCCAGAAGACCUGCCCACACAGGAAAGAAUAGGGUUUUACACCCUUUUUAACUACGGACCAAUUUGUGUCCCUUUGGAAAUACUAUGACACCAGCUGGAGAUGCAUGCCACACAAGAAAGAAAAAUGUCUGUCCCUUGUGGAAGAAAAUUGGAUGACAUCUGUCCCACAAGAGAAAGGCACACUUUCUCACAACUCAUACGAUGAACCAAAGAAUGGAAAUUGAUGCAUGAAGCCACAUAUGCAACUUAAGGUCUCCUCCUGCUGCUAUGUCCUACUCCACAAGUUGACCAUUCAGGACACAGACCUGAACCUGCAAGUUCCUGCUUCUAACCCAGUGUGGACCUUCUCCUCGGAGUGGAGAAAAUAAACAUACUAUGAACAGGAUCAGUGAUAGAAUCUGCUGUAUCUCAACUCCAAAUCACCACAUCACUUCUGUGACUUACUGAGAACCAGUGACCUCACAGGAGUCUGGAUUUAAAAAGAUUGUCUAUGAAGUCUGGCAAGAAGUGUUUUUCUACUGGUAAUCAGGUUUGAAGAAAAAGUGCUGCCAGGUGGCUCAUCUCAAGAUUAAAUGGAUCAGGG